AGAGACACAGUCGCCGCGGGAACACGAAGGGGGCUAGCGUUGUUCGGAAUUACUGGGCGUAAAGGGCGCGUAGGCGGCCAUUCAAGUUAGAUGUGAAAGCCCUGGGCUCAACCUAGGAAUUGCAUUUGAUACUGUUUGGCUUGAGUUCGGGAGAGGUGAGUGGAAUUCCCAGUGUUGAGGUGAAAUUCGUAGAUAUUGAGAAGAACACCAGUGGCGGAGGCGGCUCACUGGACCGACACUGACGCUGAGGCGCGAAAGCGUGGGGAGCAAACAGGAUUAGAUACCCCAGUAGUCCCUGUCUCUUAUACA
rnacentral:rRNA from 1 species